rnacentral:lncRNA from 1 species
CAGCCUCCCAACCACUAGUAUUACCACACCCAGCACAGGUAAUGUUUUGAGCAAUUCAGAACUGACACAUAUAAACCUACAAUAAAUUAAGCUCUUAUUAUUUAUCAUCAAUUGAGUACCUACUGUUUGCCCUGAGCUAGGCAUUGUAGAAGUUUCCAAAGACUAAAUUAUAUGUGUAAUCUUACCCUCCAAAAACUUUGCUCCAUCUCCCACUGGGAGACCAUCCAAAGCACCUCCACUCUCAUUCUUGAUGUCUUUGUUACCUUUAAAAUCCACAGUCUUGCCAGCUCCCUUCCUCCAUGCUGAUUCUCAAUUUCUCAACCCUGAUGAGAGUCUGCAGUCUCUUUCCUGCCCAUCAUUUCACUCAGUUCCUCACUUUCCUCACUACCUGGUGUGUGUGUGUGUGUGUGUGUGUGUGUGUUGUGGUGUUGCUGCUCAAAUUCUCAUGGCUUGUGCCCAACUGCUGAACUAAACCCCCAACCUUUCAUUAUCCCCUUAGUUCUUUCAUUAUAACCACUCCUUACCUUUCUCUUUCUCAUUAGAAAGUCCUGAAAAAUGGUAAAGGCUAAUUGCCUG